GAUGAAGAACGUAGCGAAAUGCGAUAAGUAAUGUGAAUUGCAGAAUUCAGUGAAUCAUCGAAUCUUUGAACGCACAUUGCGCCCGCCAGUAUUCUGGCGGGCAUGCCUGUUCGAGCGUCAUUACAACCCUCAGGCCCCCGGGCCUGGCGUUGGGGAUCGGCGGAAGCCCCCUGCGGGCACAACGCCGUCCCCCAAAUACAGUGGCGGUCCCGCCGCAGCUUCCAUUGCGUAGUAGCUAACACCUCGCAACUGGAGAGCGGCGCGGCCACGCCGUAAAACACCCACCUUCUGAAUGUUGACCUCGAAUCAGGUAGGAAUACCCGCUGAACUUAAGCAUAUCAAUAAGCGGAGGA
rnacentral:misc_RNA from 1 species